UACGGAAGGGGCUAGCGUUGUUCGGAGUUACUGGGCGUAAAGAGCGCGUAGGCGGCUUACCAAGUUGGGGGUGAAAUCCCGGAGCUCAACUCCGGAACUGCCUUCAAAACUGGUAGGCUCGAGUCCGGAAGAGGGGCGUGGAAUUCCCAGUGUAGAGGUGAAAUUCGUAGACAUUGGGAAGAACACCGGUGGCGAAGGCGGCGCCCUGGUCCGGUACUGACGCUGAGGCGCGAAAGCGUGGGGAGCAAAUAGG
rnacentral:rRNA from 1 species